rnacentral:rRNA from 1 species
GAGUUUGAUCCUGGUUCAGGACGAACGCUGGCGGCGCGCCUAACACAUGCAAGUCGAACGGGAACUGUCCGGAGCUUGCUUCGGAGGGUUUCAGUGGCGGACGGGUGAGUAACGCGUGAGGAACCUGCCUUUCAGAGGGGGAUAACGUCCGGAAACGGACGCUAAUACCGCAUGACAUCCCGGGAUCACAUGGUUCUGGGAUCAAAGGAGCAAUCCGCUGGAAGAUGGACUCGCGUCCGAUUAGCCGGUUGGUGAGGUAACGGCCCACCAAAGCUGCGAUCGGUAGCCGGACUGAGAGGUUGAACGGCCACAUUGGGACUGAGACACGGCCCAGACUCCUACGGGAGGCAGCAGUGGGGGAUCUUGCACAAUGGAGGGAACUCUGAUGCAGCGACGCCGCGUGAGGGAAGACGGUUUUCGGAUUGUAAACCUCUGUCCCCGGUGACGAUAAUGACGGU